rnacentral:rRNA from 1 species
GAUGAACGCUGGCGGCGUGCCUAAUGCAUGCAAGUCGAGCGAACAGACGAGGAGCUUGCUCCUCUGACGUUAGCGGCGGACGGGUGAGUAACACGUGGAUAACCUACCUAUAAGACUGGGAUAACUUCGGGAAACCGGCGCUAAUACCGGAUAAUAUAUUGAACCGCAUGGUUCAAUAGUGAAAGACGGUUUUGCUGUCACUUAUAGAUGGAUCCGCGCCGCAUUAUCUAGUUGGUAAGGUAACGGCUUACCAAGGCGACGAUGCGUAGCCGACCUGAGAGGGGGAUCGGCGACACUGGAGCUGAGACACGGUCCAGACGACUAAGGGAGGCAGCAGUAGGGAAUCUUCCGCAAAGGGCGAAAGCAUGACGGAGCAACGCCGCGUGAGUGAUGAAGGUCUUCGGAUCGUAAAACUCUGUUAUUAGGGAAGAACAAAUGUGUAAGUAACUAUGCACGUCUUGACGGUACCUAAUCAGAAAGCCACGGCUAACUACGUG